UCUCUCUCACUGUGUGCCUAUCAUGAAUAAAUAAAAAUUUAAAAAAAAAUUAAAGUAGCCGUAGCACUACACUGAAGCAAGGACUUAGAAAUGAUGGGACCAAUUUCCCUGUUAUGUAUUAAAGGAAAAAUAAGCCAAGAUCUAAUCAUUCUUCUGGACAUACAUUUCAACAGUGAGAUAGCUUCCUGGUAAAAUGAAUAAUAUCCUAGCCUCUAGUGUGCAGGGUGUGGCAGAGAAGUGUCUAAUAUGGAACUGCUGAAGCAAAUAACUAGUUAUCACAACAGCAGUUCUUUGUAAUCACUGAAAAAGAAUACUAUUCCUCUGACAAGGAUGUCAAAAGAUCCGCCCAGCUCAGGGUUGCAGUAUGCACUACUAGCUCCUUGGACAGCUGUGAGAAGAGUCUCUGGCUCUUUAGAAUACUGGAUGAAUUCUGAGCUGGUUCUGUACCCCCAUUCAAGAGGAAGGAUGGAUCAAUUUUAAGUGGAUUGAAGCCUGCAACAGACAGCAUCAUCCAAAGAUGUUCCUCAGAAGAAUAGGCUUGUUGCUCUACAGUGUUAGUGACCCGUUCCCUUUGACGAUCCCUAGGUGGAGAUGGGGCAUGAGGAUCCUCCAGGGGAAAAGCUCACUACCACUAGGCAACAACCCUAGGCCAGGAGGUUCUACUACCAAGUUUUUUCCUUGGGCCCAGGGAGGAAGAUGAAGUCUCAAAACAACCACCACACAUUAGAGGUGGAGAGCAUGGGCAGUAACUGCCAUGUCUGUGACAUUGAUCAUGGUCAGAUCGUCAUUUUGGAUCCUUGACCCCAAAGUCUUUCUUGAGGCCCCGUUGGAGAAUUUUGACAAUCGUUUACAUACUUCAAGAUACCUUAGGAUGUCUUUGGGAUAAAACAUGAAACAAGCUGUUAGAGAAGAUAAAUAGGAGUUAUAUCAUUUCUGCUGUACUUGAUGAUUGAUGGAGCCUGACCAGAAAUGGCAUAAAGUUUCUAUUGUCAGCUCCUGAUUGUUCCCUUUUUAUCUACCAAAUCAUUGUCUCCCAAAAGCAGUGCAGAGGGCAAGAAAGUGGAACAUAUCAAAGGAAGAUCAACAUGCCUGGCAUGCUAGCAUUUUAGAACAUCAGAAUGAAUGUGUAUUUCUUUGCUUGUCUAUUUCUUUUUUAAAUCUCUUUGGUUGUCCUUCUAUCUAAAGUGUGUCUUAGCCAUUCCUUGAUUAUUUUGUUAGUUUCGUCUAUGUGUAUCUUUGUCUCCUUUUGUUUUUUGUUCCUAAGAGUGGUCUGUGCCUUGUCUUAGAUGUCUCUCUCUAGUUUUUUCAUUUUGUUUCUGAUUCUCUUUGCUCUCCUAGAUCUGGCUCUUCUUUCACUAUUCUUCCCUUCGUGUCUCUGUGUCACAUGCUGUGUCCUUUUUGUUUAUUUCUUGUUCUGCCUAUACCUCUCUUCUCUUACUGUUGUGAACUCUGAUUGUCUUCCCUUCCUCUUCAUGUUGGUUUGACAUUUCACCUUUUCCUCAUUCUGGGCUUCCCUUUCUGCUUUUUCUACUCAUUAUCCCACAUUUCUCUUUUAUAUGUAUUUUUUUCUGCCUCUCUUGGGGGCAGUUUUCUCUCUUUUCUCCUGAUCAGUGUUUCUUUGUUCUUUGUGACUUUCCAUUUCAGCAUUCAUCUCUGUUCUCUUCUUUCUUCUCUGCUUUCCCCCUUCUGCUUACCUUUGAGUAUUUCAGCCUUUUUAUGUGUCUGUGUUUACCCCCUUUGGCUUUAUGGAGUCCUCUUGAGUCCUUGCAUAUUUUGUGCAUUUCUAUGGUCACGUGUGUGUGUUUGUGACAGAGGGGUUUCCUAACCCCUUCCCAAUAGGAACUGAGUGCCAGCUAUCAAAAUAAGCAUUGCAGAGCUGUUCAUUAUGCCAGGACACCCUAUGAGAUGAUCUAAGAACUAUGAUGGACAGAAAGUGGAAGGCCCAUAAUGGAUAGAAGGCCCAACGUAAAAUAAAGAUGGUCUGAGACUUGUGGCCUGAAGACAAGCAUGGAAAACCUGUGUUUCAAGAUAGAUGGAAUCCUCAGGCUUGAGACCAUCAUGGCUCUGGCUAUGAUUGAAAAUGGUGGCCCUUGUUGGAUAGAAGACCUGUCUGAGUUGGAUGGAAAGUUCAAAUCUUGAGUUAAAUAGGAGUUCAAAGACCCAGAGUGGGAGACUGAAGGCUUAAGCAUGGGGACUAAUGAAAUGUCUGAGACCUAAGACACAAGGUCUAAGUGAGAUAAAAACCUAAGAUCCAAGGAUGGAAGGCCCCAGAGGACUCCUGCCUUUCUAGAUGGACAGAAGGCUGAAGAGAAAGAUAUAUCAAGACUAAUCAGGUGGGCAGCUAGAAGCCCAUGACACAGAAUCCGGGAAGGAAAGAAGCCCCAAGACCAGAGGAAAUCCUAAGAUGAGAACACAAAACACCAGCUUUUUUCUGUUCCUGUCCUCCCUACUCAUGGACAUUUUCAGUUCUCCCUUUCCAGUUCUUACAUUUUCACAUAAACCCACUUGUUGUGAGAAGCCCUUUUUGAUGUUGCUAUUGCCUUCAGGAGCCAUAUCUUGAGAUUGGCAAUAUUAUGCUUGGGCCAGUCUUAAGCCAAUUUUUAUCACAGUUUUGAGCCAUUUAUUAAGUGUUUAUUUUUUAAAUUUCCAUUUCUCUUCAUCUCUACUUCUGGAGAGAGACAUAUAGGUAACAUUGUAUUUCAGUUCUCCCUUUUCCUUAGAAGCUCUAGGCUGAUAAGCAAAGGCAAGCGUCAGGCUGUUGGGGGAAAAAAAGUGCCAGGCUAUCUAGAGAAAAUGUGAAGAGAUGUUCCAGGCCAAUGAGAAGAAUUAGACAAGGAGUACCCAGAUAUGCCAGCCUGUUGAGAAGCACCAGCCUGCAACACCUUUCUUCUUUGCUCUUGGGUACUGUUUGAGUACUGUGAAAUCCAAGAUAAUGCUCCCAUGUAAUAAGAGUUUCUGGCAUCCUAAGACUACCCCUACUGAUAAGGAUAAGAACAUGCUGUCAUCUGAUUUUUAUGGCAUAAAUGAAAUUGAACAAAACAGUUUUUUAAAGGAAAUUGCUUCGUCUUUACCUUUGUACCUAAAAGGGAAUCUAUGCCAAUACUUCGAUAAGUGGGAAGACUUAUGACUGGACUUAUGACUUGGACUUAUGAACUGAUGUGAAAUGCAGAACCUUUGAGCUUUAAGUGUUUUGAAGAUUGAAAAAUCUUGCUCAGCAUCAGUGACCACAAAAACAAUCUAAAGCCAUCUACAUGUCACAACUGAAACAAAUUGGGGAAUGUGUUUU